rnacentral:tRNA from 1 species
GGGGCUGUAGCUCAGUGGUAGAGUGCUCACCUUGCACGUGGGAGGCACCGGGUUCGAUCCUCAGCACCA